AAGUCAUUUGUAGUAAGUGAUCAAGUGCAGUACCCAAACCAAAAUCAAGAUGAAAGUAAUCUUCAUGCUACUGUCCGCUCUCGUCCUUUUAGGAGCAAUCGUCGGAUGCACGGCACAAUUCCAGCAGGAUUCUAAUUCGCAAAAUAUCUUAGGGCAUAGACGUAGAAUGGAUUUUGGUGAUUACUAUUGACGCAGGCGUGAUCGACGCGACUGCUAAUCCUUGGGAUUCUACUUUAGCCCGAGUGUCCUAGUAUUGGCACACUAUAUAAAAAUAUUGAGUUCAUUCAGAAUUAAAGUUCUCAAGGAAUUAA